rnacentral:rRNA from 1 species
UACGGAGGGUGCAAGCGUUUAAUCGGAAUUACUGGGCGUAGAGCGCACGUAGGUGGUUUGCUAAGUCAGCUGUGAAAUCCCCGGGCUCAACCUGGGCACUGCAGUUGAAACUGGCAAGCUAGAGUAGGGUAGAGGGGUGUGGAAUUCCAGGUGUAGCGGUGAAAUGCGUAGAUAUCUGGAGGAACAUCAGUGGCGAAGGCGACACCCUGGACUCAUACUGACACUGAGGUGCGAAAGCGUUGGGGAGCAAACAGG